rnacentral:lncRNA from 1 species
AGCCGACGAGUCGGCAGUGGUGACAUUAGAAGAUAUUCAGGUGGAUGUGAGCCUGAACUAUAUUGAGAGGCCAGUGGCGAUUAGGGAUCGAAAGAUCAAGGUUCUGAGGAGCAAGGAGGUACCUCUGGUGCAGGUCCAGUGGCAGCAUUGGAAAGGGUCCUAGUUGACUUCUGAGCCAGAGCGUGAGAUGCGAGAGCAGUAUCCAAAGUUGUUUGCAGAGUGAGACUUCGAGGGCGAAGUCUAAUUCUAGUGGGGGAGAAUUGUAACACCCGGAUUCCCAGGUAUAUUAUUUUAUUCCUUUAUUUUUUGGAGGAUGGGAGGGGACUCGGCAAGUUGGUGUUUAGACUCGCCGAGUAUGGUCGCGGAUUCGUAUCUGGGUUCACAGCUGGACUCGACGAGUUCAUGAGUAGAGUCGGCGAGUCCAUGCUGUUUAAUGAAACCCUAAUUUCCUGGGUUUGGGACCUAUUUAAAGGCCCUUAGGGCUGUCAUUUGAGGCUACCAAACCCCAGAGAGAAACCCUAAGAGAUCUAGAGCGUUUGUGAGGAAGGAGAGGACAUUCUUGACCAUUUUGUUGAUGUAAUUGCAAGAAGGAGGUGACAAAGGCAAUAGGAGGCUGAAGGAGGUGCGAUUCUGGUGACUUCAGAGUUCAUAGACUUCAACUUGAGGUAUUUAUUCGGAUAUUCUUCAGUUUGGUGUUGAUUCUUAGAGUUAGGGUUUUCUAACCCCCUUUAGAGGAUGGAUAUGUGGAGCAAUUGGUCCCCUCUCGAGUUUAUGCUUUGGAUAUGGACUCAAAGAGGUCCAGAGACCUUAACCCUUGAAGCUUUAUGAGUUAUUUUGGGAGCCAUGAACUUAGGAUGUUAUUUUUGGGGCUAAAUCACCAAGUGAGACCAUCUAGAUGUUAUUUGUGUGUCAAGGUAUGAACUUUACGUGAUUAGCAUGCUUGGGAAGGUCAGAUCUAAGGAUUAAAGGAAGAGAUAUGACCUCAGGAGGUCUAUGGAGUUUGUGCAUGGCAUGAACUCGCCAAGUCCAAAGAUCAGACUCGGCGAGUAGGGUUAGGGUUUCCCAUCAAUCACUCAGUGAGUAGAAUUGCCGAGUUGGGUAAAUAACUCAGUGAGUCAUAGGGGGAUUAGGGGACUGGAGUUCAAGGCAGAACUCACCAAGUUGUUCUUGAGACUCGGCAAGUUGAGUCUGGGUGGCCUCGCGAUUCAUGCAAGGUGUGACUCGUCGAGCAAGGGGAGGAACUCAACGUGCCAAGCGGGACUAAAGAGUUAAUGGACAUGUGUAGACUCGCCGAGUCGCCCAAGUGCACUCGACGAGUCGGGUCAAAGUUUGACCAUUGACUUUUGUUGACUUUUAGGGGUUGGUCAACAAUGUGGCCUUUGAGCUAAAAGAGGGGUAAAAUGGUGUUUUGCCUGCUGAGGGUGCCUAGAGAGGGUUGAGUCUAGUCCCAUGAGUUAUAUUUAAGAAAAUAUUUACGUUAUGUGAUCAGGCGGAGGCUAGAUCAUAUUUCUACCGAGUCAGAGAUUUACUGAGACAUCUGAGGUGAGUCUUCUCACUAUACUUUACCUAGUGGGGUAACAGAAUUAUGUGACAGGGUAUUUUAGAGUUAUAUGCCACCCUUUGAGUUGUUGUAUGGGAGGAGGUGUCGGACCCCCAUUUGCUGGGGAAAGGUAAGGCAGCGUUUGAUGAGUAGUACUGAGACCGUGCUUCAGACGACAGAGCAGAUUCAGCAGGUCAGACAGAGGUUGUUGACCGCUCAGAGUCGUCAGAAGAGUUGUGCGGACAGACGUCGGUCCGAGCUCAAGUUUCAGGUCGGCGACUUCAUGCUCUUGAAGGUCUCUCCUUGGAAAGGAGUGAUUCGAUUCAGGAAGAGGGGAAAGUUGGGGCCCCGAUAUAUUGUUCCUUUUAGGGUGAUCGCGAGGGUAGGUAGGGUAGCCUACCAUUUAGAGUUACAUGCAGAGUUGGGUCAGAUCCAUGACACUUUCAACAUGUCGCAGCUGAGAAAGUGUAUAGCCGACGAGUCGGCAGUGGUGACAUUAGAAGAUAUUCAGGUGGAUGUGAGCCUGAACUAUAUUGAGAGGCCAGUGGCGAUUAGGGAUCGAAAGAUCAAGGUUCUGAGGAGCAAGGAGGUACCUCUGGUGCAGGUCCAGUGGCAGCAUUGGAAAGGGUCCUAGUUGACUUCUGAGCCAGAGCGUGAGAUGCGAGAGCAGU